rnacentral:rRNA from 1 species
UACGUAGGGUGCGAGCGUUGUCCGGAAUUAUUGGGCGUAAAGAGCUUGUAGGCGGUUUGUCGCGUCUGCCGUGAAAAUCCGGGGCUCAACCCCGGACUUGCGGUGGGUACGGGCAGACUAGAGUGUGGUAGGGGAGACUGGAAUUCCUGGUGUAGCGGUGAAAUGCGCAGAUAUCAGGAGGAACACCGAUGGCGAAGGCAGGUCUCUGGGCCACUACUGACGCUGAGGUGCGAAAGCGUGGGGAGCGAACGGG